rnacentral:rRNA from 1 species
GACGAACGCUGGCGGCGUGCUUAACACAUGCAAGUCGAACGAUGAAGCCUUCGGGUGGAUUAGUGGCGAACGGGUGAGUAACACGUGGGUGAUCUGCCCUGCACUUUGGGAUAAGCCUGGGAAACUGGGUCUAAUACCGAAUAUGAUCAUGCUCUUCAUGGGGUGUGGUGGAAAGCUUUUGCGGUGUGGGAUGGGCCCGCGGCCUAUCAGCUUGUUGGUGGGGUAAUGGCCUACCAAGGCGACGACGGGUAGCCGGCCUGAGAGGGUGACCGGCCACACUGGGACUGAGAUACGGCCCAGACUCCUACGGGAGGCAGCAGUGGGGAAUAUUGCACAAUGGGCGCAAGCCUGAUGCAGCGACGCCGCGUGAGGGAUGACGGCCUUCGGGUUGUAAACCUCUUUCAGCAGGGACGAAGCGAAAGUGACGGUACCUGCAGAAGAAGGACCGGCCAACUACGUGCCAGCCGCCGCGGUAA